GUUCUACCGCGUCUUGUUACCGGAGCCUGAGUCACUGACCUAGGUCUCUUGUUCUGUUAAAUAAGUGCAGGGGGUGCUGUUCUGCAGUGUGAAACUGGAGGUCUGGGAUUCUCCACUAUUGGAGGAAAGAUGCGAAGGUUUCUCUCCACUAGUUGUGCCUUGGCCAGAACGGCUUAGUAAGUACUAAGCUCAAAUACGUACAAUUACUAUUUAAUCUCAGGACGGAGGCCCCAUUCGAACUUACUUGCUUUCCUGCCUUCAUCCAUCAUGCUCUC
rnacentral:lncRNA from 1 species